rnacentral:rRNA from 1 species
UGAGGAACAUGACCUUCGGCGGGGGAUAGCCGGCCCAACGGCCGGGUAAUACCGCGUACGACCACAUGGGGACAUCCCCGAGUGGUGAAAGCAGCAAUGCGCCGAUGGAGUGCCUCGCGGCCUAUCAGCUAGUUGGUGAGGUAACGGCUCACCAAGGCGACGACGGGUAGCUGGUCUGAGAGGAUGGCCAGCCACAUUGGGACUGAGACACGGCCCAGCUCCGUAGGAG